rnacentral:rRNA from 1 species
CUGGCGGCGUGCCUAAUACAUGCAAGUCGAACGGUCUUUCUAUGGAAGCUUGCUUCCACUGAGAAGAUAGUGGCGAACGGGUGAGUAACAACGUGGGUAACCUGCCCAUAAGAGGGGGAUAACAUCCGGAAACGGGUGCUAAUACCGCAUAGUUUUCUUGAUCGCAUGAUUGAGAAAGGAAAGACGGCCUUUGUGCUGUCGCUUAUGGAUGGACCCGCGGCGUAUUAGUUAGUUGGUGAGGUAACGGCUCACCAAGACGAUGAUACGUAGCCGACCUGAGAGGGUGAUCGGCCACAUUGGGACUGAGACACGGCCCAAACUCCUACGGGAGGCAGCAGUAGGGAAUCUUCCGCAAUGGACGAAAGUCUGACGGAGCAACGCCGCGUGAGUGAAGAAAAGGUUUUCGGAUCGUAAAACUCUGUUGUCAGAGAAGAACAAGUUGGAGAGUAACUGCUCCAGCCUUGACGGUAUCUGACCAGAAAGCCACGGCUAACUACGUGCCAGCCGCCGC